AAAAUAUAAAUAAAUUGUUCAGCUAGAUAAUUAUAAUUCAAUCCAAAUCAUCUUCACAAAAUCCAAGUUUAUAAUUGUAACUCAUCUAUGUAACUGUGAUUCAUAAUAAUAUAAUUCAAAUAAACCAUAUUUUCUGCUCCACACACUUAAACAUGUAUCAUGCUAAUCUUCUUACUUAUGGGGCAUUAAGCCUUGUGGCUCAAAAGCAUAUAUCUUCGCAUCCCAUUCAGUGGGAGCAAAUAUUGUUGCAUCCCAUUUAAUAGGAGCUAAUAUCCCUGCAUCCCAUUUUGUGGGAACAUAUAUCCUCUCAUCCCAUUCAGUGGGAGUAAAAUACACACCCUAAUUGGUGGGAGCAC
rnacentral:misc_RNA from 1 species